rnacentral:rRNA from 1 species
GACGAACGCUGGCGGCGUGCUUAACACAUGCAAGUCGAGCGGUAAGGCCCUUUCGGGGGUACACGAGCGGCGAACGGGUGAGUAACACGUGGGUGACCUGCCCUCAGCUCUGGGAUAAGCCUGGGAAACCGGGUCUAAUACCGGGAUACGACUCCACUGACGCAUGUUGUUGGGGUGGGAAAGGACCUUCGUGCGGCGUGAGGAGUGGGCCCGGCCGGCCGUA